rnacentral:rRNA from 1 species
CGCAGCCGCGGUAAUUCCAGCUCCAAUAGCGUAUAUUAAGGUUGUUGCAGUUAAAAAGCUCGUAGUUGAAUUUCGGGGUUCUACCGUUGGUCGGGCAAUAGUCUGUACUGGCGUGUGGGAUUUCUACCUUCUGGGGAACCAUCAUGUUAUUUAUUUAGCGUGGUGGGAAACCAGGACCUUUACCUUGAAAAAAUUAGAGUGUUCAAAGCAGGCUUACGUCUGAAUACAUUAGCAUGGAAUAAUAAAAUAGGACGGUGGUCCUGUUUUGUUGGUUUCUGAAUCACCGUAAUGAUUAAUAGGGAUAGUUGGGGGCAUUAGUAUUCAAUUGUCAGAGGUGAGAUUCUUGGAUUUAU